rnacentral:tRNA from 1 species
GCCUUCAUAGCUCAGUGGUAGAGCGUCGGUCUCGUAAACCGAAUGUCGAGAGUUCAAUCCUCUCUGAAGGCA